GAUGAACGCUGGCGGCGUGCCUAAUACAUGCAAGUCGAGCGAACAGACGAGGAGCUUGCUCCUCUGACUUUAUCGGCGGACGGGUGAUUAACACGUGUAUAACCUACCUAUAAGACUGGGAUAACUUCGGGAAACCGGAUCUAAUACCGGAUAAUAUAUUGAACCUCAUUGUUCAAUAGUUAAAUACGGUUUUUCUUUCGCUUAUAGAUUGAUCCGCGCCGCAUUAGCUAGUUGGUAAGGUAACGGCUUACCAAGGCGACGAUGCGUAGCCGCCCUGAGAGGGUGAAUGGCCACACUGGAACUGAGAAACGGUAGAGACUCCUACGGGAGGACGCAGUAGGGAAUCCUACGCAAUGGGGGAAAGCGUGACGGAGCAAAGCCGCGUGAGUGAUGACGGUCUUCGGCUCGUAAAACUCUGUUAUUAGGGAAGAACAAAUGUGUAAGUACCUAUGCACGUCUUGACGGUACCUAAUCAGAAAGCCACGGCUAACUCCGUG
rnacentral:rRNA from 1 species